GGAGGGCUAUCCUAAUUGGUAAGGAACCUGACUUGAAAUCAGGCGCCCAUAUGGGCUUGCGGGUUCGAGUCCUGCGCCCUCCG
rnacentral:tRNA from 1 species